rnacentral:rRNA from 1 species
GAUACCCUAUUAUUUUAAAAGUAAUUAAAUAAAUCUAAUUAGUAAUAGUUAAGUUCUUGAAAAUUAAAGAAUUUGGCGGUAUUUUAGUCUAUUCAGAGGAAUCUGUCCUAUAAUUGAUAAUCCACGAUUUUUUAUACCUAAUUUAUUAAUUUACAUAUCGCCGUAGUUUGAAUAUUUUUUGAAAAUUAUAAUAUUCAUAAUUUAUUUUUAUAAAAAAAAUCAGGUCAAGGUGUAGUUUAUAGCUAGGAAGAGAUGGGUUACAAUAAAAGUAUUUAUUAUGGAUUAAUUAAUUAAAUUUUUUUAUGAAGGUGGAUUUGAAGGUAAUUUUAUUUA